rnacentral:lncRNA from 1 species
AUGGCUUGUGGUUUAUAUUUGUCCUCUCUGUUUAUUUGCUGAUGUGUUUCAAUGCAUGUGGGCAAAAGGCGACAGGAAACAAGGAGCUGUGUAUGAAGAAACCGAGCUGAAUGGAGAAACCUCCAAGCUUCCAACAACUCUAUCUACAAAAUGAAGACCUCCUCGGGAUCCAGACAGAAAGAAAGAGAUGGAGUGGACACAGCUCUGGAAAAAGUUUGCUGAUGUUAUUACAGCUGUACCCUAACUACAAUAUGACUUCACAGACCACAGCCAAUCAAAACUAAAAGAACUCAUUGGCCUGAUCCAAUCAACACUGCAAUAACGCCAGCCAUUGAUGUCGAAAUUAUUGCCAGUGUUAGGGGGAAAGUUUAAUAUCUGAACAUUUGGCAGUUAGGUUCCACAUAUAAAACUGAAACAGCAGAAAGCCACUAAGUCUAAGUGC